rnacentral:rRNA from 1 species
AUUGAACGCUGGCGGCAGGCCUAACACAUGCAAGUCGAGCGGAUGAAGAGAGCUUGCUCUCUGAUUCAGCGGCGGACGGGUGAGUAAUGCCUAGGAAUCUGCCUGGUAGUGGGGGACAACGUUUCGAAAGGAGCGCUAAUACCGCAUACGUCCUACGGGAGAAAGUGGGGGAUCUUCGGACCUCACGCUAUCAGAUGAGCCUAGGUACGAUUAGCUAGUUGGUGAGGUAAAGGCUCACCAAGGCGACGAUCGUUAACUGGUCUGAGAGGAUGAUCAGGAACACUGGAACUGAGACACGGUCCAGACUCCUACGGUAGGCAGCAGUGGGGAAUAUUGGACAAUGGGCGAAAGCCUGAUCCAGCCAUGCCGCGUGUGUGAAGAAGGUCUUCGGAUUGUAAAGCACUUUAAGUUGGGAGGAAGGGCAGUAAGUUAAUACCUUGCUGUUUUGACGUUACCGACAGAAUAAGCACCGGCUAACUUCGUGCCAGCAGCCGCGGUAACAC